CCGGCGACCGGCGCACGGGUGAGUAACACGUAUGCAACCUGGCCGUGACAGAUGGAUAACCGGGAGAAAUCCCGCCUAAUACAACAUAAUGCCGGGAGGGGACAUCCCCUGCCGGCCAAAGGGGGCGACCCCGGUCACGGAUGGGCAUGCGGCGCAUUAGGUAGUUGGUGGGGCAACGGCCCACCAAGCCGACGAUGCGUAGGGGUUCUGAGAGGAAGGUCCCCCACAUUGGAACUGAGACACGGUCCAAACUCCUACGGGAGGCAGCA
rnacentral:rRNA from 1 species